UUUCCGUAGGUGAACCUGCGGAGGGAUCAUUACAGAGUUCAUGCCCUACCGGGUAGAUCUCCCACCCUAUGUUAUUAUUACUUUGUUGCUUUGGCGGGCCGUUAGGCUCCGGCCCGACUACCGGCCCCGGCUGGUAAGCGCCCGCCAGAGGACCCAAAACCCUGAAUAUUAGUGUCGUCUGAGUACUAUAUAAUAGUUAAAACUUUCAACAACGGAUCCCUUGGUUCUGGUAUCGAUGAAGAACGCAGC
rnacentral:misc_RNA from 1 species